UACGGGGGGGGUAAGCGUUGUUCGGAAUUACUGGGCGUAAAGGGCUCGUAGGCGGCCAACUAAGUCAGACGUGAAAUCCCUCAGCUUAACUGGGGAACUGCGUCUGAUACUGGAUGGCUUGGAUUCGGGAGAGGAAUGCGGAAUUCCAGGUGUAGCGGUGAAAUGCGUAGAUAUCUGGAGGAAUACCGGUGGCGAAGGCGGCAUCCUGGACCGACAUUGACGCUGAGGAGCGAAAGCUAGGGGAGCAAACGGGG
rnacentral:rRNA from 1 species